UAUCACACUCUAUAGGAAUAAUCAACGAGCACGUCCAGAUGACUACAUAAACAUAUACCUGGAAACCAGUAGCCAUCAUUACAAUCCACUGCUGAAAUGGUCGUACAUCUACUGUUGUACGGCCUGCAGAACCCUUACCAUAAUAUGCACUAUGUAUUACACCUAUAUUCCCUCUCAGUAAGGUAGAUAUCCAUAUUGCUCUUCACAAUCUCUACUACCCAAUCUGGGACGCCAUCUUCUCCAACACUGCCUCUGCAUUAAUUCAUGGAAUGACAUGAGCACGUAAGUAUACCGAGUAGAAGAGUAAACUCAUCAAAGAAACUCAAAGUAAUGAUACAACUUUCUGCAAGAUACUUCUGUUCCUGAGAGGUGUAUGCACUAGGCUAGCCUGAAUCUAUGAUACUUGCAUAUUUUUGAAAGAAAUGUGCUAGGCUACACUGAAUCUGUGAUACUAACUUUCCUGAAAUAUAUGUGCUAGGCUAGACCGAAUCUGUGCCAAAUUACUAUCACUAGACGAACUAGAAAGACACAUACAACGAUGAUUUGCGCUAAAUAAAUUGCGUGCCCAACUAAUUUAAUUUUCAAAUUGCUAAUUGACUGGGAACAACAAGCAGCCAAGCAGAAAUCAUUCAUGAGCAUUGGGUAGAAAGCAGCAGCAGCGCUAGUAUUCAAUGAAGUGAGCAGCUAAACACAAGAUCUGCAAGCCACCCACAGCAGACUCAUUGUAAACCUGGGGAGAGCUCGCAAAAACUGCGUACAAUACACCUAGUAAAUAUCCACGAGAUGCCACAAAAGCAUGCACCCACGGUUUGAUGUUCCAAGAGAUGUCACAGUAUUCAGUCAGCUAUCUUCAGGUAAUGACAAUGUCCACCGCAGGCCUUUCGGGCUUUUGGCAUUAUCCAAUCUGGUCCUGCUUAACACGGAGAAGUACUAGUGUUAUUAACAGAACAAUAAGUUGAGAAAUGCGUAGCUAGCUAAUGCGUGUGAAUCCUAGUUCUAAGCUGUCUGUCAGUGGACAGUCUGGCCAGGUGAAGUGCAUGCCUGGUUGUACGUACCCUAAUCGUGAAUGGCAUGCAGAACCUAGAAACAGAUUUCCACUGGGCGUCGAGAUAGCAACGACUGUGUAUCCUACGGCCUAAAUUAACAGCCAAUAUACAAAAGGGUCAUUGUAAUUGUUGAACAUAAUGUGCAUGUGUUCAGCAGGAUUCAAAUCAUGUGUUCGUGGUUAGAUAAUCAUACGCCUGUUUACAGAACAUGACAUCUUACAAGUGCAGGAUGAACACAAUCUAAUUCAUCAGUAUACGCACUUGUUUACAAAACAUGACAUCUUUAAAAUUUAUAGAGUAAUUCCACUUGAUCCAGUGCAUACAAUAUAUUGUGAUGCGGUCCACUAAGUUCACACCUCACAGCACAAGAAGCUAGUACAUAGUAGCAGAAUACACACCCCAAAGUACCACUUACUCUCCAAAUCACAAAGCAAUAACAUGCAAAUCUUGAGCAGUUCAACUACACAAGCCGGCAACUCAACGGAUGAAAACAAAAUCACAGAGAUGAAGACAUGAGAGGAUGAUGAGUUUGAGGUUACCUGCCGUCCGGAGGAGAGGAUGCUGGGGAGAGCCAUCGCCGGUCUAGUCCAGGCGGCGGAGGUGGUGUCGAGUCCAGCGGCAGUGACGGCAUUGAGCCCAUGCGGCGGCGGCGGCAGUGGCUGAGAUCUAGGAAAGGGCGGCGCGUCGUUCGCUGCUGCUGGAAGCACCUUCGUUCGUGCGACCCCCUGGUAGGUUUUCUAUAUGGGUCGAGGCUGUUUAUAGGCCCAGCCGUAUCCCUAGC
rnacentral:lncRNA from 1 species